rnacentral:rRNA from 1 species
CGAGGGGUGCAAGCGUUGCUCGGAAUUAUUGGGCGUAAAGGGUUGGUAGGUGGUCUUGUUUGUCUAGGGUGAAAUCCCAUGGCUUAACUGUGGAAGUGCCCUAGAAACGGCAAGACUAGAGUCCUAGAGGGGUUUGUGGAAUUCCCGGUGUAGCGGUGAAAUGCGUAGAGAUCGGGAGGAACACCAGCGGCGAAGGCGGCAAACUGGAUAGGCACUGACACUCAACAACGAAAGCGUGGGGAGCAAACAGGAUUAGAUACCCUGGUAGUCCACGCUGUAAACGAUGGGUACUAGGCUUUGUGGGAAUAGACCCCUGCAGAGCCGGAGCUAACGCAAUAAGUACCCCGCCUGGGAAGUACGGUCGCAAGACUA